CAUAGAUUCCUGCUAGGUCAUAGGCCUAGGUGACCUCACAGGAAGAACACCUAGUCACAUGGUACAUCAGCUAUUUGAGAAGAAGCACCUCUAAAGAGGACACGUUUAAUACAGUUCGAGGAGUCGCAGUACCACAUGGAGAGGAAGCCAUGGCCACAGGGGUGUGAGGCAACUGGUCACGGAACAGACUACCUAGGUAUGAUCAUUUGAAUGGCACAUCAUCCGCUCAAGUCUUGGGCUCUCAACUGUUGCUCCAGGUCACAGGCUCUCCCUGAGGGUAGUCACGGCAGGAACUGAAGCAGAUACCGUGGAAGCACUGUUGCUUACUUACUCAGCCGACUGCUGAUACAGUUCAGGACCAUCUUGCCCAGGGUGAGCUCUCUAGGAUCAAUCAUCAGCCAACAAUCAUGACAACCCUCCACAGACAGCCACAAGCCAAUUUGCUUUGAGCAAUCCUCAAGGGAGACUCUUCCUCCGAGAUGACUCUUAGAUGUGUCAAGUUGAGAAUAAAAACUAACCGGGAGGCAGAG